AUUGAACGCUGGCGGCAGGCCUAACACAUGCAAGUCGAACGAGUGGCGGACGGGUGAGUAAUGUCUGGGAAACUGCCUGAUGGAGGGGGAUAACUACUGGAAACGGUAGCUAAUACCGCAUACCAUCUGAUGUACCCAGUUGGGAUUAGCUAGUAGGGGGGGUAAAGGCUCACCUAGGCGACGAUCCCUCGCUGGUCUGGGAGGAGGACCAGCAACACUGGAACGGAGACACGGUCCAGACUCCUACGGGAGGCAGCAGUGGGGAAUAUUGCACAAUGGGCGAAAGCUUACUGCAGAAAUGCCGCGUGUAGGAAGAAGGCUUUCGGGUUGUAAAGUACUUUCAGCGGGGAGGCGGUACCCGCAGAAGAAGCACCGGCUAACUCCGUGCCAGCAGCCGCGGUAAUAC
rnacentral:rRNA from 1 species